CUGCAGUUCCUCUAGAGGGAAUUGCCCUUCCGUCUCAUCAAGGGCACCGACAACAGGGAACGGACCUGGCGCUGCUAAAGAUCCAGCUCCCCCGUGCUCUGCUCUCGUCCAAGAUUUUAGGGGCAGUCACGUCGAAGGGUUCACAAGCUCAACUGAUGACGGCAAUUUGCCAAAGCAAGACAUACGAGCAGCCGUGAUCAGUUAGGCCCUCUGCCCGCUCGGCUCUCUACCUGCGAGAGAAGAGGAGGCGGGGGGCUUCCGCCCGUGGCGUCCUGCCUCCUCGUGGGCACAGCUGUGAGAUCUGCCCAUGUCCCCUUGUGUGGCAGCUUUACGGCUGGCUGUGCCGGUGUGGGAAUGGCUUCCAGAAAUCCUGUAUUUCAGGAUAAAUUAUCCAAGGUCAGGACACAGUGGGCAGUGCCAGAUAGAAUACCUCGAUAUAAAUAGCCUGAGUGCAGGGGAGAAACCAAGCUGGAAACGAUCAAAGCCAGAGCGAGUCCAUGGAAAAGUCUUCCCCUGAAUUUUUAUCACAUAUGAAAUCAUCUGCCAAACUUUAUCAUUCACCCCAUAAAAUUACUAGAGACUUUGCAACGCUCAGCAAACCCAAAGCUCACGGCGCCGCCAGUUCGUUACCAGCAACCACCUGAAGAGCAGCCAUCUCCGGUCACCAGGCUUUAGGACAGUCUAAAUUCCUGAUUUCCUCUGUGGAAAACGGUAUUAUUGCAAAAGCACUGUCAUAGCAAGAAGUGACUUAAGGAGAGAGACCUUAAGAAAAAAAGGGGGAAAAAAAAUACAGAGGCAUGUCAGGCGAUUCAUUCAUAAAUGCUACUUCCCCAGAACAUGGUAGUGGCAGGACGGGCCAAGUUCAAAACAUGGUAUGAGUCGUUGCUUCAGGCCUCUCAAAACCUGGCAAUUCCUCAUGGGGAGGCUGCCAGGCUAGCUCUGCUUGACCUGGUGUAGCCUAGAGGGGCACAGGCCUCCAGCUCAGCCAGGGAGAGAGAUCCCUCCAGCGCCCACGAGACAGACAGACAGACAGACACACACACACGCACACACACCCCCACUCACUCACUUUGAAUCUCGAGGUGCCAACACAAGAACAGAGAUGUACUGGGAGCUUCUUUGAUGGUCUUGGUUACACUAGCACGACGGCAUCCAGACCAGGUCGCUCCUGCCAGCGUGAACGUUCUCGAUUCCGCAGAGCGUCCCUGCUUCCUGCUGCUCCCAAACCUGGCCCAGCUGUCCUUCUUCAAGAGCCACGGGCCCAGCUGAGGUUAACCAGGAACUGGUUCUGUUGUUUAAAACCAAGGGCCUUACCGGACAUCCAUGUCACCUACACGGGGACGUGUGUCUACUGUUAUAACGACAUGUCCAAGAUGUGUGUGCGUAGAUGGACGUGAGGAUUUUAUGUUUUGCUUUUUAGGGCUGCACCUGCAGCCUAUGGAAGGUCCCAGGCUAGGGGUCGAAUUGGAGCUGUAGCUGGUCCGAUGAAGGCCCACAGCUUAGCCACCGCCAUGCAGCAUCCAAGCCACAUCUAUGACCUACACCACAGCUCACGACAACGCCAGAUCCUUAACCCACUGAGCGAGGCUGGGGAUCGGACCCGCGUCUUCCACUGCAUACCAGUCGGGCUUGUUUCCACCGCGCCACGACAGGAACUCCCUGUAUGUGUUCUACCUACAGGCUCAUUUUUGUUUAAAACCCAGCGGUAACUAAAGUACAUAAAAACACACGCUUCCCCACUGCACACAGCACAUCUGGAGAAACACACCCGAAACUAUCGGCGGUGGCUCCUCGGGGACGAGGGCUGUGAAGGAGAAAGAGGCUUUUACGUCUAACUCAUACCCUUCGGUACUCUUUGAAUUUUUAAAUUUUCACGUAAAUACGCAGCAUGUACUGGAACAAAGGCCUGCCAAACGAAAAGGACAGCCAAGCGCAGAGAAUACCUUGUCACCCGUGAGGCCCGCCGCGUCUCCUUUUGAGCCUGUCUUCCCCCCUCCUUCUCAGGGAAAUACGCGGACAGUAUCCGCCCGCAGGCUCAUCUCCAUCUGUGGGCGGGAUUCUCCCGCAGCAAGCAUCCAGUGUCUCAAGGAGCAGGACAAAAACCUUUUUCUCUCAGAGAACCGGCAACGGAACGGCCAAGUCUAGCCCUAGGAGCUCAAGCCCCCAGACGGACUUGCCCACACCGGGAGCUUCACACUCAACAAACACAAAAUUCAUAAACGAACCGGCUGCACCACAACGGCCCUCUGGUCAUGUGUUUCUAUAAGAUGGAAUCAGUGCAGUUAAUUAUAGUGACACGCCACCACAUCCAGGUCUGUCCUCUUGUCUGGUCUGGUUUGGUUUUUCGAUUCCUUGAUUCUCAACCUCCUGCUUUAUCCGAGUGAACGAAAAUCUGUCUGUAAUUGUUACUCAGGCCUCACACGACAAGUACACUCCGCCUUUAUGUCCCAUUAGAACGGAGAAGCCACGUUAGGAACUGGGAGAAAAUGCACGCGGCAUUCACACUCAAACUGAUCGGAAAAGCAGUUUCAUAUCCUUUAAGUGCCGACGAGCGGCAGACAGGGCCAAGGCUAAGGGAUGUCAGGCCACCUAAGACGACGUUCCCUGGGGCUCGUCACCGCGUUGGAGGGUUUUCCAAAGAACUGCAGCCCAAGCUUUGGUGACUGUCCGAGCAUCUCCUCUCCCACAUGGAGCCUCAGUAAAAAUGACGGGGAGCAAGGGUUCUGCCUCAGCCAGCGCAUUCUCACUUGCUUGUAAGGCACUGUCUUUUCUCAGCUGCUCAUAGGAAAAAUCACCUGGCCCUUUCGACAUCGGCGCCUGUGCGCAGGUGUCACCUCCCUCAGCCGCUCCGACCUUCUACCAAAGAGCCCAGAGCGUUGCCCCGCCCCUCGGGAAAGAGCAACGUACCAGGAGGAAAACACGGCCUGGGGCCUGCGUGCUCAGGGAAGGGGCCCCGGCCAGAGCGGGGCCUUUGGGGUUCACAGUUUGCCUCCCGCUUAGCCCUCACCUGCCUGGUGACCCGCCGUCUCCAGGACGAAGACCACCCGGUCACACAGGUGAUGAUGGCCCUGGGAAGCCCAGGUGGCCGCUCUGGCUCUGACCGCGUCCUCUGACCAUGACGACUCGUAUCCAGCACUCCUCGGUCCCAUGACGCAGAGCCACCCGGUUUCUGUGUAACCUGCACCCCACGUCUGAUUCUGCUGAUCGGCUGCUGUGAUCUGCGCCCAGAGGGUCCACGACUUCACUUGGGAUCCAAAGUCUCCUUGAGCUCUAACGACCACUUGCUGUGCAGGUACAAAGCCUCGGGAUAUUCCGCCAACUGUGGAAGUGUUCGAAGAGUCCACCCGGAACCAAAUGUGCCCCCGGCGCCUUCCUGAGCCCACGGGGUCCGUCGCGUUGUCCCUCAGCCCACUGCCCACGAGGAUGACCUGCAGUGGCCAGGGCAGGCCCUUCCCAUCAUCUGCGGGCAGGGGUGGGAUGGGAAGAUGCAAACGACGUGUGUACCUGAGCACGUGCACAAACCUGGCUCCUGGGAGACGCAGGGCUCCCCAGAUGACGGCGACACAGCCCCGGCCAAGACGCAAAGGACAGCUUGGUGGGGAGAGCGCGAGAUCGAAGGCCUAUCACAAAACAACGGGGAAGUGUGAUAACAAACUGCCACAUUACAUCUGGCAGAUGACAAAACACAGACGGAAAAAGCCAUCUAGGUAGGAGACAGAGGCCUCCCGGGAAGGGUAAUAGCACAGCCAAGUUAUAAAGAAACAGCCAUUAGGGACGAGGAGGGAAAGGGAAUAGGGACCAUCACAAAAGACCUCCCCCCUUUUUUUUGUCUUUUUAGGGCCACACCUGCAGCAUAUGGAGGUUCCCAGGCUAGGAGUCAAUCAGAGCCACAGCUGCCGGCCUACACCACAGCCACAGCAACACCAGAUCCAAGCCGCAUCUGCGAGCUACACCACAGCUCACGGCAACACCGGAUCCUUAACCCACUAAGCAAGGCCAGGGAUUGAACCUGCGACUCAUGAAUGCUAGUGAGAUUCAUUUCUGCUGAGCCGCGACAGGAACGCCUCAUCUCUUUUUUCUAUAAUAAUCGCCACUAUGGACUGAACAUUUGUGUCCCCUUAAAAUUCACACGUUGAAACCCAAGCCCCAGUGCGACGACAUGUGGAGGUGGGGCCUUUGGGGGGUGAUUAGGUCACGAGAGUGGCAUCCUCAAGAACAGCAUCCCCCCUCAUCAAGGAGCUGUGCAGCCCCCCUCAGUGGGGACAUGGCACGGAGACCAGGAAGCAGGUGCUCACCAGCCACCACACCUGCUGGCACCACGAUGACCAGGAAGCAGGUGCUCCCCAGCCAGCCGGCCGGCCGAUGGGAGGGGUUAGAGCAGCUCGAAGGGACGAAGACAGACCGUCCCAAACAGCUUCCGAGCUCUCGGGGCUCUGGGUGAGCUCCGUGUCCGGGGCCGCAUCGAUCCUCAAGUAUCAGGGGCCAGUGCUCCCCAACAGUGCCGGGGCCUUUCAGACUGCAGUCCGGUCAAGGUCAUCCUUCCACUCACUCCACAGGCAGGCACUUGGUAAGCCCCCAGGGCAUGCCCACACAGAGCUGCGCAGUGCGGCACAACUGCCAGCAAAACUGCCUCCAACAGCAAACUCUCCAACACACCCACACGAGAUGGAACGCCGCCAGCGCCAUCUCUGUCCCCAACAGACACAACAGGACACGUCUCAAGGGCAAGGUAAGGACCAAGAUCCCCGAGGUGCCCCCUAGGCCCCCACAUUGUGCUCAGCUCCAGGUAAGUGCGCAAUAAAUACCAAGUUCCCCGCCACUACAGGGAAGGUCUUGCGUGGGUACCUCUGGGAGGGAUCAGUGGAUUGACCUUUGAGUAAUUGCUUCGAGACUGAAAAAGAAAGAGCAGCGACAGACGGCCUCCAAACCACUCCAGGCAGAGUCAAAAGAAGAGAAAGACGUCUGUGAGCAAAUUUUGCACUUGGGUUUCUGUUACAGGGCGACGGCUCUCACCCCUUCAAGGGGAACAGAAAUUAAAGUCAUGGCCUCAAUCCAAGCGCUGGAAAAUGUCUUUAUCAUGAAAAUUCAAUUAGCAGCCCGUGACCUCCCAGCCGGUUCAAGCCCGUGGCUCUGCUCCCUUUCCAGGAGGUCAGGGGCACCCUGGGGAAGCUGUGCCCUGGCCUCUCCAGGAGCUGGGCCUGCAUUUUACGGCGCAGCUAAAGAGGCUGCUGGGUCAACGCUGACAUGCAGGUCCCGUGGAGAUUAUUUCGUAAUUAUGACCCGUGUGUACCAAACGGGGCUUAGACAACUUUCCAGGGCAGUGACGCCAACACCUACGAUAAAAGGGCUCAGUCCCAAUGCUCAGCCAGACAGGAGCCGUCCAAUCCCCUUAAAAUCUGAUAGCUUUAUGUAACAGCCACAUAACUAUCGUUAUAGCUGCUUAUAAGGGUCUCUUAAAACAAAGAGGCGUGUACGGAACUCAUCACGGGACAAGAAGGCCAGCUCCCGUGCACUUCCAGCUGUCACAGUUCAUUAAACAUCACGACACAGCCGGGAUUUUAUGGGACAAGGCCGGUACCGAGGUGCGUGCUGGCUACUUAAGCAGGAUCAAGUUCAAGCCUUUCUGACGUCACCAGUGAAUCACUCAAAAACACUUGGAGAAUAAAUCCUGUGCCCUUAAACAUUCAUGCCCCCCCCCCCAAAUUCCCCAGUCUCUGUCACCAACACUCCAUGGCUGGUCUAGCAAAUGUACGUGAUUUUAACCUCCCCUCCCCCACCCCUGUAAUUCCAUUAAAAGAGCUCACCGUACACAGUCUUUUUAGCAUAGUAAUGCAGAAGUCCUCCAGGAUGGAGAACUUUAGACACUGGCCUUUUAUUUAUUAUUUUCUUUAGGGCCAUACCUGUGGCAUGUGGAAGUUCCCAGGCUAGGGAAAAGAAAAGAAAAGAAAAGAAGAGAAGAGAAGAGAAGAGAAGAGAAGAGAAGAGAAGAGAAAAGAAGAGAAAAGAAGAGAAAAGAAGAGAAAAGAACAGAAGUUCAGUGAAAAAGCUCAAAUGCUGCAUCCUCGGCCGGGAGGCACCCAGCAGGGCCUCUCAGAGGAGAUCGGUGAGGAGAAGCGUGAGAUUUCAAAGAGUGAGACUCACAGAUACAGAAGGUGGGGUCGUGGGUGCCAGGGUGGGGGGCAGGGGAUGGGCAGUGAGUGUUUGAAGGGGACAGACUUUCGCUUUGGGAAGAUGAACAAAUUCUGGAGGCGGAGGGUGCCGACGGCGGCACAGGUGCGGGAAUGUGCUUCCUGCCACUGCGCGCCACGCUUAAAAACGAGUGACAUGU
rnacentral:lncRNA from 1 species